CCUACGGGAGGCAGCAGUAGGGAAUCUUUCACAAUGGGCGAAAGCCUGAUGGAGCAACGCCGCGUGCAGGAUGAAGGCCUUCGGGUUGGAAACUGCUUUUAUAAGCGAGAAAGAUGAUGGUAACUUAUGAAUAAGGAGCGGCUAACGACGUGCCAGCAGCCGCGGUCGUACGCAGGAUGCGAGCAUUAUCCGGAGUGACUGGGUGUAAAGAGUUGCGUAGGUGGCAUAAUAAGUAGCUAGUGAAAUCUGGUGGCUCAACCAUUCAGACUAUUAGCUAAACUGUUAAGCUCGAGACCGUUAGAGGUAACUGGAAUUUCUAGUGUAGAGGUGAAAUCCGUAGAUAUUAGGAGGAACACCAAUGGCGUAGGCAGGUUGCUGGGACGGUUCUGACACUGAGGCACGAAAGCGUCGGGAGCAAACAGGAUUAGAUACCCGUGUAGUC
rnacentral:rRNA from 1 species